rnacentral:rRNA from 1 species
GACAGAGGCCCCGAGCGUUAAUCGGAAUUACUGGGCUUAAAGGGUGCGUAGGCUGAUCCGCAAGUGCUCCGUGAAAUCCCCCGGCUCAACCGGGGAACAGCGAGGCAUACUGCGGAUCUUGAGGCAGGUAGGCGCCGAGGGAACAGUAGGUGGAGCGGUGAAAUGCGUAGAUAUCUACUGGAACGCCGAUGGUGAAGACGCUCGGCUGGGCCUGUCCUGACGCUGAGGCACGAAAGCGUGGGGAGCAUACAGG